UACAGAGGUGGCAAGCGUUGUUCGGAAUUACUGGGCGUAAAGGGCGCGUAGGCGGUCUUGUAAGUCCCGUGUGAAAUCCCUCGGCUCAACUGGGGAACUGCACGGGAAACUGCUUGGCUUGAGUUCGGGAGAGGGAAGCGGAAUUCCGGGUGUAGCGGUGAAAUGCGUAGAUAUCCGGAGGAACACCGGUGGCGAAGGCGGCUUCCUGGACCGACACUGACGCUGAGGCGCGAAAGCUAGGGGAGCAAACGGG
rnacentral:rRNA from 1 species